rnacentral:rRNA from 1 species
UGGGGAAUAUUGCACAAUGGGCGAAAGCCUGAUGCAGCGACGCCGCGUGAGGGAUGACGGCCUUCGGGUUGUAAACCUCUUUCAGCAGGGAAGAAGCGAAAGUGACGGUACCUGCAGAAGAAGCGCCGGCUAACUACGUGCCAGCAGCCGCGGUAAUACGUAGGGCGCAAGCGUUGUCCGGAAUUAUUGGGCGUAAAGAGCUCGUAGGCGGUUAGUCGCGUCUGCUGUGAAAACUCGAGGCUCAACCUCGGGCUUGCAGUGGGUACGGGCUGACUAGAGUGCGGUAGGGGUGACUGGAAUUCCUGGUGUAGCGGUGGAAUGCGCAGAUAUCAGGAGGAACACCGAUGGCGAAGGCAGGUCACUGGGCCGCAACUGACGCUGAGGAGCNGAAAGCAUGGGGAGCGAACAGGAUUAGAUACCCUGGUAGUCCAUGCCGUAAACGUUGGGCACUAGGUGUGGGGUCCAUUCCACGGAUUCCGUGCCGCAGCAAACGAUC